ACACGAGUCUGAGCAAACUCAAGGAGAUAGUGAAGGACAGAGAAGCCUGGUGUGCUGCAGUCCAUUGGGUCACAGAGAGUUGAACAUGACUUAGCAACUGAACAACAACCACCUCAUAGAGUCUCCAGAUUUAGGUUUUCUGAGUGGCAGCUGUGUGGCACUGGAGUGGUGAGUGGCAGCUGUGUGGCACUGGAGAGGCAAGCAGCCAAGAGGCGAUAACCCAUGUCCAAGGCAAGCCAUUCAAUAUCACGGUAAUCCAAGCCUAUGCCCCAACCAGUUAUGCUGAAGAAGCUGAAGUUAAGCAGUUCUAUGAAGACCUACAAGACCUUUUAGAACUAACACCCAUAAAAGACGUCCUUUUCAUUAUAGGGGACUGGAAUGCAAAGAAGGAAGUCAAAAAACACCUGGAGUAACAGACAAAUUUGGCCUUGAAGUACAGAAUGAAGCAGGGCAAAGGCUAAUAGAGUUUUGCCAAGAGAACGCAGUGCUAUAGCAAACACCCUCUUCCAACAACACAAGAGAAGACUGUACACAUGGACAUCAACAGAUGGUCAACACCGAAAUCAGAUUGAUUAUGUUCUUUGCAGCCAAAGAUGGAGAAGCUCUAUGCAGUCAGCAAAAACAAGACCGGGAGCUGACGGUGGCUCAGAUCAUGAACACCUUAUUGCCAAAUUCAGACUUAAACUGAAGAAAGUAGGGAAAACCACUAGACCAUUCAGGUGUGACCUUAAUCAGAUCCCUUACAACUAUACAGUGGAAGUGACAAAUAGAUCCAAGGGAUUAGAUCUGAUAGACAGAGUGCCUGAGGAACUAUGGAUGGAGGUUCAUGACAUUGUACAGGAGGCAGUGAUCAAGACCAUCCUCAAGAAAAAGAAAUGCAAAAAGGCAAAAUGGUUAUCUGAAGAGGCCUUCCAAAUAGCUGAGAAAAGAAGAGAAGCUAAAGGCAAAGGAGAAAGGGAAAGAUACACCCAUUUGAAUGCAGAAUUCCAAAGAAUAGCAAGGAGAGAUAAGAAAGCCUUCCUCAGUGAUCAAUGCAAAGAAAUAGAGGAAAAUUAUAGAAUGGGAAAGACUAGAGAUCUCUUCAAGAAAAGUGGAGAUACCAAGGGAACAUUAAAUGCAAAUAUGG
ensembl:lncRNA